rnacentral:rRNA from 1 species
UUGACCUCAGAUCAGGUAGGACUACCCGCUGAACUUAAGCAUAUCAUAG